AUUCACACCAGACACAGGUUCUAGGUUGUUGAAUAACUUGAGGAAAGUUUAUUCAGAGGGGACGGCAAGUCCCUUUUAAAGCAAAAUUACAUCAUAUGCAUUGUCAGAGAUAACAUGGAAUAAUACAUCAAUAAUUGGUUAGGUGUUAAGUGGUUGCUCUAAUGCUCUGCCUACUGCAGGUGAUGUCACCGGGACCAUGAGGGUCUCCCACGGUUUUCCGGCGCCAUCUUGUUACACGAGGUAGUUAGUCGAUGUUUAAAAAGGGAGGGGAGGGGAAGGAGGGGUUAGAAGCUUCUAGCAGCCAUCUUGAUUGAAACAUGUGUACUUAGCUUUAUAUGUGAGAUAUAUAUAUAUAUAUUGUAAAAUGAGUAAAUAGACAUUUUCCUUUAACUAGGAAAUAUGUGUAGACCUUAUUUCCACAACAGUCCCCCCUAAAAUGGCUAUUUACCAUUACAACUGCUGCUGUCCCUAAUAUGUCCCUAGUUGCCCGCAACCUAUCUGCCUUGACAAGCAUCGAACACUUCACUCCGCGGGUAUCCCGCAGUGGCUAACCCACUACAUCUCCACACGUGAGACUCACCUGUCAAGACAGACGCUUUCCCUACUCUAUCCCUACAAAAAAGCAGUUGUCUGUUUAAACUGAUGUGUUUGUAGGGGUGUAUGUGGGGUGUCA